rnacentral:rRNA from 1 species
GACGAACGCUGGCGGCGUGCCUAACACAUGCAAGUCGAACGGGGUAGAUGACUUCGGUUGUCUGCUUAGUGGCGAACGGGUGAGUAACGCGUGAAGAACCUGCCUUUCAGUGGGGGACAACAGUUGGAAACGACUGCUAAUACCGCAUAAUGUAUUCGGAUGGCAUCAUCUGGAUACCAAAGCUUUAUGUGCUGAAAGAUGGCUUCGCGUCUGAUUAGCUAGAUGGCGGGGUAACGGCCCACCAUGGCGACGAUCAGUAGCCGGUCUGAGAGGAUGAACGGCCACAUUGGGACUGAGAUACGGCCCAGACUCCUACGGGAGGCAGCAGUGGGGAAUAUUGGGCAAUGGGGGAAACCCUGAUGCAGCGACGCCGCGUGAGUGAAGAAGUAUUUCGGUAUGUAAAGCUCUAUCAGCAGGGACGAAAUCGGACGGUACCUGACUAAGAAGCCCCGGCUAACUACGUG